rnacentral:lncRNA from 1 species
UAAGAAAACAUAACGAAAAUAUUUAAAUUCAGUUUACGACAUAAUAUUAAAUAUAAGCCUAGGUACAUGCCGUUUACAUCAACUAUAAAGUAAACUCUUCACCAACAUUGUUUGAGCUGAACUUCGAUUCUUCGAAUGCUGCUAGAACGAUCUAAUGAAUCUAACUACCUACACAAAAAAAAAAUUAGACAAACCGUACGCUUAGCAGUUUUUAUGCUCAGUAGUACUAAUAUAAAAAAAUCAUUACAUAAGUAUUGGACACAAAUUAAUUGAUAGAAAUAAACUAAAAAAUGAUUAUAAAUAUAAUUAAUAACAUCACAGUAAAAGAAAUUUCUAAUAUUAAUAAAAUUUAAUUUUUUGUUAUUGACAAAUUGAAUAAAGAAUAUAAGCUUUUUAAUUAAAUUCAAAAUCGCAUACUUAAUUUAAUUUGUACAAUAUUGAAAUUCAAAUAAAUUCAAGUUUUGUUUUUGCUUUUCUUUCAAUUUAGACCCCAUACUAAAAUUUAGACUCAUAACUAGAUAUACAAAUCCGCCACCCCGAGUUGUUCGGCAAGAAUAGCUAUCAGAGUAGUCCACGACCCUCUGGGAAUUGGGACUACCCACAACCCUCUAGGAAUUGAGGCUAACAAUAAUAACAACUGACUGACUUGGUUUUUUCUCCUAUGACCCUCUAGGAAUUGGUGAGAUCUAAAUUCUCUGAUAUAAAGACUCUAUGACAUGCCAACUAUAUCUGAUUUAGUCUAACUUAAUGAAACAGGGUAAAAACCAAAUUUCAUGAUCCAUUUCAAUUCCAUCUUCAUAUAAUUCUCAUUUCAAUUCUAUUUCAUAUUCAAAUCACAUAUUGCCUAAUGUAAAUUAGAUUUCCAAUUUGAAACAUAUUAAAUAUUUUCUUGCUCAAUCAUCUAAAAUCAUAAUACUCAAAUCCAAAUCAUAACUAUGAAUUUGCUAAUUUAAUCUUAUGAAAAACAUAGUAUUCAUCUUGAAACAUAUUUUAUAAAUAUUAACUAAAUCAUUCAAACUCAUCCAAAACUCAUAAAAAUAAAAUAAAUAUAACUUUGUUAAACUAAAUAUUCUAAGGCUUUAUGUAAUGAAAAUAAUAUAUUAGCACAAAUCGAAGUUUUAAUCGCUUUACUCCUUUUCUUUUCCUUUCUCCUUCAAGAUGUUUGCUUCAUAUUUAGAUACAAUAGGAGCAAUUCAAUACAAAACAACAUCAUUUAUCCAUUCUAAAACUAAAACUAAUAAAAACAAAUUUAAAUAUGCAUGAUUAUUCAUAUUGAAAACUUAAGUUUUCUAGUCUGAAAUUCGCAUAUCUUUCGACUCGAUUAUCCAUUUUCAAUUUUGUCUUCACUAGAGUACUCACUGUUUCACAGGCUAUCAUUUAGUACCAAUUACACAAAGUGGUCAAUGUACUCUACUUCCCCUUUAACAUGGCCAAAUAUACCAAAUAAACUUUUUAUCCAUUUUUGUUUCUUUUUCACACUUCUAACAAGCUAGAAUUCAUCUUCUAAUAAUUUCUUAUCCAAAAAUUUAUCUAUUUCACUUAAGUUUUCUAAGCUUCCAUCAAUGUCUUUUAAUGAUAACUUCUAAAAUACUUGAUAAAAAAAACUAUUGGUAUAUAUAUGUAAAACAAAUUUCAAAGAUUGAAAAUCUAUAAAAAAUUGAAGAAAAAUCAUAUCUUAAACUUGAAAUUAAUGGAAAAUGAAAAAAGAUUUUUUUUUUAAUCUUUCGUGAGAAAGAUGAGAAAGAACUUAUCUUUCUCUCUUUUAUAUAUAUAUAUUAUAAUAUUUAACAAAUUACUAUUAUUUUAAAUAAAAUGUUAAAUAAUAAUUAUUUAAUGAAAAUAUCAUUUAAAGUCAUCAUGAAACUUUUGAUUUUUUUUAGGUAAUGAAAAAAUUGUCAUUAUGUCCUUUCCAUCAAAAUAAAAAUAAGAUAAUUAUACUUUAGUCUCUAUACUUUUUUAACUUAUUUAAUUUAAUUUCUAAACUCGAUACUGAAUUUUUAACUUAACCAUAUACUCUUACUAAUAACUCUUUGUGUUUUCGUAUCUGAUAAUUUUUCUAAAAACGAUCACAAUUUUUUAUACUAUUAUUUAUUUAUAGAUUACUUAUUUAAAUACUUCUACCAUAAAUGUUAUUUUGUUUAGUGGGGAUGUUACACCGCUGAGCCCCAACCAUCUAUCUGAGAUUUUUACUCGGCUAUUAAAAGCAGCUCUCACAUGUUGGUUAAAUUAACUAUAAUGACACUAACAACACAUCAAAAACAAAAGUUUUCUUAAAGGCCAACUUCCAUAAAUCAAUUAUUGGUCAUAACAAGGACAAAGACAACAAUGGGGUUUUUUUCAAAGAUGUAAAUUAAAAAUUUGAUUUUUACAACCAAGUACAAUGAAGUCAAGCCGAACCUUAAGAGGUUGAAGAAAGUGGUGCUUCGUUCUUGGCACUUCAAUUUGCAGCAGUAUCCACCGAUGGGGGUGUAUAGAUUCUAGCUUUCUUGAGAAUUUCAGUAACAACCGAAUGCUUACGCUUGGUCAACGGCCUAGAAGAAUCUAAUUUAACCUAAGAAAAGCACAUAUUGAGAAUAAAGAGUUCAUCAUUUUCAGUAAUUUACAUAUAUUUGGACUAUUUACAGAAAUCUCGGAUAGCAGGUUGGGGCCCAACUUAGGGGCGGUGGUUGGCUGGUGCGAACAGCUGAGCAGAGUGGGGAAGCAAGGGCUGAGUCGAUCCUGGAGGAGACAGCUUCGGACGGUGCUGGGUCGGUGACCAUUGAACUUCUGGGGUCGAAACCCAACUCCAGAAAAUAAUAAAAUGUUUUAUUUUAGUUAAUAAAAUGAUUAAAAUGAAUAAAUUAUAUAAUACAUGUGUUUAAAUUAUAAAUUUUUUAUUUUAAAUACUUAAAAUGAGAAAUAUUUUAUAGUUUAGUGAUUUUUUUU